GGAUGCACUGUGAAGAGGGAUGGAGACCUGGAGUACUGCAGAUGCUCAACAGAUGGGCAAAGCGUGCUGGGGGAGUCCUGACCACGCAUCCCGCUGUUGAGGGCAGACCGGAGGCGUCUUCUGGAUGAGCGCAGCGUGAGAGGCAAAGGCAGCAAAGUGCACGUGUUGGAAUAUGAGAGCCGACAGCUCCCGCCCAUCUGAGGUGAAAGCUUGGUUUCUGAAGCCUUCAGAAGAAGCUGCCUACUUCAAACCAGGUAUGAGAGAGAUGCAAGCACAUCUGCAUGAAAUACAUGCCCAGGCAUAACGGUUUGUUUUCAGACUGUAAUAGAAGUGAUGUUGAUUUAGUAGAAUAAAAAAAAAUUUAAAAAAACCA